rnacentral:rRNA from 1 species
UUUUAGUGCGGGCUGCUCGGGCGCCAACCUCCCACCCGUGACUACCUAACACUGUUGCUUCGGCGGGGAGCCCUCUCGGGGGCGAGCCGCCGGGGACUACUGAACUUCAUGCCUGAGAGUGAUGCAGUCUGAGUCUGAAUAUAAAAUCAGUCAAAACUUUCAACAAUGGAUCUCUUGGUUCCGGCAUCGAUGAAGAACGCAGCGAACUGCGAUAAGUAAUGUGAAUUGCAGAAUUCAGUGAAUCAUCGAGUCUUUGAACGCACAUUGCGCCCCCUGGCAUUCCGGGGGGCAUGCCUGUCCGAGCGUCAUUGCUGCCCAUCAAGCCCGGCUUGUGUGUUGGGUCGUCGUCCCCCCCGGGGGACGGGCCCGAAAGGCAGCGGCGGCACCGUGUCCGGUCCUCGAGCGUAUGGGGCUUUGUCACCCGCUCGAUUAGGGCCGGCCGGGCGCCAGCCGACGUCUCCAACCAUUUUCUUCAGGUUGACCUCGGAUCAGGUAGGGAUACCCGCUGAACUUAAGCAUAUCAAUAAGCGGAGGAA